UUGCAAGCUUUUCUCUCUUAAUUUUUUAGCUAGUUCAACACUUGAUCGAUAUUGGAAGUUGAAAUCUAUAUUCUUCAUUGGACUUUGAGCUUUGUUUGGAUUGAGAACUUUACUCUUAGGAGUUGCCGCUUGAUUCAUCCUACAAAUAAAAAAAAUAAAUUACUUUAGCCUAACAAAAGAUAUAAUUAAUCAUAGUAUUACUAUCAAAAAAUUAAAUUACUUUAGCCCAAAUAACAUGGGUAUUGACACUGAAACAGUGAAAGAAAAAGAAAAAAGAAGAAGAAAAAGAAAAAGAAAAAGAAGAAGAAGAAAAGUAGGGGGGAGGGGGAGGAAGAAAUCACAUAGCUGGGACAAAACUUGAUGAUCUUGAAUUUAAAAAAAAGAGAGCUUUUUUAAUUAAUUAACACUGGCAGUGCAGCUAUCAAGAGAAGUGCUUGCUUCUGUCGCUUUGCUCGCUUCCUCUCUUCUUAUUUUUUCAGGGAAAGCGAUCGCUUUUCUGUACUUGAUAUGCUUUAGAUUAGAGAAGCGUCGGAUGCCUCGCUUCGCAUCACUUAUCGUUUUAAGAAUGGAAGCGGUCGCUUUUAACAACACUAUUUCCAACAAUUAUAGAAUAUGGAGGAUGGAAUUGUGCAUUCUAUCAUCGUCAUGCAUAUCCUGGGAUUAGCAAGAAACCUAUACUGAACUGAAGCUUGGUUCACGAUGCUAUAGAACAGUUAUGUUUGUAUCCUUUUCCUAUUUAAGAAUUACAAGUUGGUAUUCACAGUAGACUACAAUGGUUAUUUCAACAAUAAAUAUGGGAACUGGACAUAAUAUGCACCUGAGGCAUGGGGAAUGUACUCCUAAUGUUACUAUUUCACUUGCUGAAGCCUCAUAUGAGCUAUCGUAGUUCACAAUAUUUUUUUUACUUUUUCAUAAGAUAUUCCUUCAGCAAAGAAAGUAAAUUUCGGCGCAUGAUAGUUAUCUAUAGCAACAGCUAAUGCCGGGGGGUGGGGGAGUUGAGUUGUGGGGCUUUGCACAAACAUCAUUCUGCACCCCUCUGCCAGACACCAAUAAGGCUCACAUUAGGCUCAAAAGAGACUCAUUGUUGUGUGUUGCUGUGGCGGAAUCGAUCUAGAAAAGCUACAUUUAUUUUCAGAUAGUGGCCCUAUUUGCAAGAACUAGAAUAACUUCUGUAACACUGCAGGUGCAACAUUGGCAUAGUUCCCUCCCUCAGACAUGUUCUAUCCAAUUGCCGAUUAACAAGGCCAAAGAAUAGAACACUUUAGAUGAAUGUUAUAGGUCAGUCCAUCGAUACUUUGUGGGUAUGUGGCAAGCUAGGUGAAAAAUCAAAUACGAUAAGAAAACUCGACGAAAAUAAUGGAUCAAACCUAAGGUAAGUCUCCAAAAAUAGAUAAUCGGGUCCCUACUUAGAUUUAUCUUUUUCCAAAUAUUGGAGAAAGUAUCUUAUUCAAAUGAGCAGAAGAGAUUAACCAAAAGUUUCAGUAGAAAUGGUCAUAUGAGAGAAACCCCCAAGAUUAAAGCUACAAAGUUUAUGAAAGAUGCCGAGAAAUGGGGAAGAAUAAACAAUUCCAGAGCAUAUAUAAAUGAACAAAGUUACAAAGAUACCUGUUAAAUAUAUCUUAGUUCCUUAAGGCUUGUUAGUCUAAUAUCUUCUUUAGUUGCAUGUGCACCACUUGAUAAUAAAAAACAAAUAUGUAUAUACUUUAAAACUUGCUCCAAUACUCCAGGUAAUAGUACAGUACAAAUUCUGAAGCAUAAUUUCUAUUUACUCACGUUCACUUAAACUAGAGGAAAAAUUCUCGAUCCACCUAUAAUACAAUAGGGUUCCUUAGAAGGGAGACAUUGAAUAGCAACUCAAGUAAUUUCUAGUAAUACCAAUAGGGACACAUUAAAAAUACAUGAGCAAUGAAAUAUAUGUGCACAUCAAAGAAAUCGAUAAGCAAGAAAAUAUUCAAUAUUGAACUUGAGGAAAUAGACAACAUCAAUUUAAAACUAAAGCAACAGUCUUUAAUGUGUUUCUAUCUAUUAAUAAAAAAUGGCUAAGCUAUUUUCUAUUUGAAUAAAAAAAAAACUCAUGAUGUGUCUUCAAAAUCAAACUCUUCAUCCGAUUCAAUUUCAAGUUGUUGUGCUAGCAAUCCUUCUGGAGGUACAUCAAGAAUGGUUGCUGGAACAUCACUCCUUACUAUCUAUUAAUAAAAAAAUGGCUAAGCUAUUUUCUAUUUGAAUUAGAAAAAAAACUCAUGAUGUGUGUUCAAAAUCAAUCUCUUCAUCCAAUUCAAUUUCAAGUUAUUGUGCUAGUGAUCCUUCUGGAGGUAUAUCAAGAAAGGUUGCUGGAACAUCACCCCUUACAAAGGCAACUUCACCAUUAUCCUCAAGGUAACCUGCCAAAUAUUCAGAUGGCUCAUUUUCAUAACACUGUGGGGCAUUAGCUUCAAGUUCAUCACUUAUGCUAAACAAGUCUCUUGGGACAGUCUUCAUGAAAUAAUAUCUAUCUCUAUCAUAUAGAUCUUGCACGUAGAAGCAUUGGUGUACUUGAGAUGCUAGGACAAAAGGCUCGUUCCGAUAAGAUUUCUUGUUGAAGUAGACAUAAAUAAGGCCAUAAAUAUCCUCUUCAACCACAUAGCAGUCACACUUAAAUAAGACAAUACUAAAAUGUACAUAAUAGUCUAACUCAACUAUAUCAACUAUUCUACCAUAAAAAUUCAAAUUUACGUCAAUUGGAUUUUUAUCUUUUGAGCUUGUAAAACUUGUAGUUUGAGCGACUAAUGUAACACCACUAAUAUAUUUUUGCAAUUGAAUUUGGUCUGAAGGAUAAUUGCUUUAUAAGAUCGCGCAUAUCCUUUUUCAAAGAACGAGUUUCAAACCAUUGAGAAGUUUUGACUAUACUUCUUGGCCUUGCUCCAUUUAGAUCCUCGUCUCUAAUUACUAAACUCAACUUCAUAUUCUCUAUAAAACAACUAUUUAUAUUUGUUAAUAAAAUGAUAAAUAAAGUAAUUUAAUAACAAUCCACAUAAAUAAAGGCUAUAAGUGAUUAAAUUACAUUAUAUAUUCUUGAACUUCAUCACAAUUGUUCAAUAAGUAUAUAUGUGUCUGAUUUAAUGACAUGUCAUCUAAAACAAUUGGAUCACUCUUUUUUAAUCCUAAAGGACAACCUAUAUUAGGAAACAAACUAGAAGAUUGUACCUUAAUUGAAUUAUAUUCAUCAUUGUUUCGGGAUUGUCGAUUAAAUCGAGUCUUUACACCUCCAUGUAAGUACGUAGAGCAUAAAGUCAAACACUCUUCAACCAAAUAUGCCUCAGCAAUAGGUCAUUGUGGAUAAUUUCUAUUGCGAACAUAUUCUUUUAAUGUAAACAUAUACUUUUCAGGAGGAUACAUCCAUCGAUUUUUAACUGGACCUCCCAACCUUACCUUAUUUGCCAAAAGAAUAGGCAAAUGAAUCAUUAUAUCAAAAAACGUUGGAGGAAAAAUUAUUUCCAAUUGAUUCGUUAUUUCUCAAAUCUCUACUUCCAAGUAAUCUAGCUCUUCCAUUGUGAUAACUUGUUGACAUAAACGGCGAAAGAAAGAACUUAGACGAAUCAAAAGGAUAGCAACAUGAUCAUGAAGUAUGCUUUUAACUGGUAUUGGCAACAAGUAAUGCAACAUGAAGUGAGCACCAUGAGUAUUAUAAUCGGAUAAUUUUCUUCAAUCUAGUUGCGCAAACCUGGAUAUGCUGGAAGCACUACCAUCAGGUAGCUUUGAUGUCUAUAAAACACCACAGAAACUAAUUUCUCACCAUUGGUCAUUGAGAAGCAUGUUUUUGCAAAUUUUGUUCUCUUGCCAUCCUUUGUAUCCUUUGGUUGAAGUUUUUUCCUAAUACCCAUCUAUUUCAGAUCAUAACGAGCAUUUGCAUGAUCCUUUGUCUUGCCAAGAAUAACCAAAGUAGUUCAAAUUACAUUAUCCUCUAUUUUUUUCUCUAUAUGCAUUACGUCAAGGUUAUGACGUAACUAGUUGUACUGCCAAUAAGUUAAUUGAAAAAAUUGACUUUUUUUCCAAGGGAUAUCAUUUGUUCUCUUUUGCUUUUUCUCAAACACAUUGUUAACAUUUUGUAAUCUAUUAAGCACAUCAGUUCCCUUUAACAAAGGCGGAGGAGGCCUACAUUCUAUUUUUCCAUUGAAAGACCUUUUAUUUGAUCUCCAAGGAUGAUCCAUUAGCAGAAAAACACGAUAAUCCAUAUGACACAUUUUUACUAUGUUUAAGAUAGCGAGAAUUAGUGCCAUAAUUACAACAAGGGCAAGCCAACUUUCCCUUUAUAUUCCAAUCAGAUAACAUAGCAUAUGCAGGAAAGUCACUAAUUGUCCAUAGAGGAGUUGCUCGCAUUUGAAAGGUUUGAUCUCUUGAAGAAUCAUAUGUUUCUAUCCCAAACUCCCACAAAACAUUUAUCUCUUCUAUUAAUGGUUGUAAAUAAACGUCAAUGCCAUUUUCAGGUGAUCGUGCCCUAGGUAUAAGCAAAGAAAGCAUACAGUACUCUAGCUUCAUGCACAUCUAUGGAGGCAAAUUAUACACCAUUAAUAUAACUGGCUAUGUGCUAUGAGAUAUGCUCAUGGUACUAAAUGAAUUGAACCCAUCACUUGGUAAGCCAAGUCUCAAAUUGCGAGAAUCCAUUGCAAAUUCUGAAUGCAAGCUAUCAAAGUAUUUCCAUGCUUGCCCAUCAGCAUGAUGCCUUAACUUUCCAUCUAUAGAGUGCUCCUCGUCAUGCCGCCUCAAGGUAUCUGCUGUCUUUGAGCACAUAAAUAGCAUUUUAAGUCUAGGAAUUAAUGGGAAGUGUCUCAAAAUUUUUGCUGGAACACGAUAACCUUUUUUGGAAGCCUCAAGAUCGCUAUAUAUUUUAUCGCUAUCUACUUCAGGAUAUUUAAUAUAUCGAGAUUAUCCACAAAUAUGACAAUAUUCAUCCUCCUUAUGGUCAUUCCUAAAUAGCAUGCGAUCAUUAAUUUUUUAUAAUCAAGACCGAGAUCUUUUACGAUAGAUUUGGCUUUAUUUUAGGACAUAGGAAUGAUCAAGUCAUGCAUUGCCUCUUUUAAUAGCUCUAAAAGAGAAGUGAAAGACGCAUUGCUCCAUCAAUAUAAACACUUCAACAUAUACAGGCGGAUUGAAAAAGAUAAUCUCAAGAAUCCUUUACAACCAGGAUAUAGUUCUUGGCGUGUCUCAACUAAAUUAUAGAAUUUAUUGGCAUCUUCAUUUGGGCCUUCAUACACUCCUCCAACAUGUGCAACAUUUCUAAAUUGAUCAUUCAACAACCCAUCAAUAUCAUCGUACCAGUAAACAUUAUCAUCCAUGUCACAAUUAGCGUUCAUCAAAAUUUUUCAUUCCCCAUGAUUAAUCCAUCUUGUAUAAUCUUGAAAAAACUCAUAACAUAUUAGAUGGUAAUACACUACAUUCCAUUAAGUCCAGCAAAUAUUACAACACUUUGCACAUGGGCAUUGAAUUUCUUCGCCAUGAGGAUCUCCAUAAGAGUAAGAAAAAUCUAAGAAAGAUUAUCCACCCUCGAUAUACUCUUUUCUAUACCUUGGUAAAUCCAUCCAUUCCUUGGAUGGAACAUUUGAAUUCCUAAUAAUAAAAUAUUUAAGCAUUAAUUAUAAGGUUAAACUAAAUCCUAAAUGUCAAGAAUAAAUUUGUAAAAUCAUGUGUUGUAAAAUGAUAGGACUUUCUUACUUAGACAUGACACUUACGCUAAGCCAAAUACAACUUUAAGUCCACCACAAAUCUUCUCGAGCGUGACUUAUCUUCUUGGAUAAAAAAGGUAAAAUUAGGAUCUACAAAACAAAGACAGAAAGCAAUAAAAUUCCAAACCACGUUUUUCUUAAAGAUAAUAUAAUAGUUCUUCGCACCAAAAAGUUUCAUGUGCACUUUGGCAAAUAUAGUGACGCCUAAAAGGUGUUUUAUUCAUACAAAUAUUAUAUAAGAAAAAGACGUUAAGAUAUAAAAAUAUAACUAGCUAUUUCUGAUUUCGUCAACUCAAAAGAAUAAACUAGAGAACUAGUCAUAUUUUAAAAUUACUAAAAGGAAACUUUGAUAGAACAAUUUACCACAUUACAUUUUGACAGAACAAUUUGCAACCAUAAAUAACUAAUAUAUAUGAACUCUUAUACUCAAAAAAGUAAUUAUUUUACCAUGGAGAGGAAAACCAAAACUCAACAAACAGCCCCUAAUCGUAAUACAAAGCAGUCCUACACAUCACAACUGUUGCAAAAAAAUUCUGCCGCUAAGUUUGAGUUAUGCCCAGUAACAUUUGAUCAUGGAGAGCCAACUGUAGAGUUCACCAUGGAUGAGGUUAACGAGUUAAUAAAAAAAGAAGGACUGUAUGAAACAAUUAAUGCAAAAAGAGCUGGUCAAACAAUGGUUUUAAAUUCAGGACUAAGAUAUAUGAACUCCUGUACUCAAAAAAUAAUCAUUUUACCAUGAGAGACAAACCAAAAAAAAUAAAAAAACAACCCCUAAUCAUAAUAAUAGUCCUACACAUCAUAGCUGUUGCAAAAAAUUCUACCGCAGAGUUUGAAUUAUGCCCAGUAAGUUUUGAUCAUGGAGAGCCAACUGUAGAGUUCGCCAUGGAUGAGGUUAACGAGUUUACAAGAGAAGACGGACUGCAUGAAGCAGUUGUAAUGGAAUUCUCAUAUGGAAAACCUGAGUUACAAAAGAUUUUUGUCGCAAUUUGAUGUUCAAGGUCGCUGCAAUAUUGGAGUGCUGUAGUUUCAUCAUCUUUUGAUUAGAUUUGAUCUCUUCAAUGCUUAUGUUAAGUUCUUAUCUAGAUCAACUGGAUAUGUCAAGGCAAAAGGUGAGGAAUUAUUUUUCAGAUUUUUUCCUUGGGCGCUAGGAUUAAUCCAAAAGAGAAAAUUUCCAUUACAAUUGCGUGGAUCUCUUUUCCAGGCUUAACGCCUAAUUUCUUUGCGAAGAAGUCGUUAAUGUCUAUUUCUUUAGCUGUUGAUAAAGAUCUUGCUGUAGACAAGGAGGCAAGAAAAAACAUGACCUAGUUCCGCUAGGGUCAAGGUAAUCCUUGAUUUGCUCGACAAACAUCCUAAGAAGGUUAAGCUACAGAUUAUGGACAGAAUCUCGGGUAAAAUAAUUGUGCUUUACCAGGAGGUGAUAUAUGACAAUCUUUCAAAAUAUUGCACUUAUUGCAAGUAUCAAGGACAUGACUAAAAGGUAUGUCGAAUUAUGAAAGAACAAGCAGGAAUGGAAGUGGUAGCAGGGGAAAAACAAGGGCAACGUCUCAAGGUGAUCGUGGUUUAGUCGAGGCAGAUUGUUCAGUUAUGGAAAAACUACAAGGCGAUGCUAGGGAAUACCUUAAUGCAAAAAGAGCUGGCCAAACAAUUGUUUAAAAUUCAGAGGGUACCAGAAAUAAUGGGCAGCAACAGAUUUUAAACAAAUCUGAAAUAUCAAAAAAUGUUGCUAUUGCUCCUGCCGAUCGUGCUUUAGCUAGGGUGUCUCAAAGUAUGGAUGUGGAGGCAGGAAAUAGGGUGUUGAAUGGUCGAGGGAAUGACAGUGAUAAAGGGACAGUAGCAGGAGAUGUGGUUACUAAUGACAAGCCAAGUGAUGCUAUGGCUGUAGUAGAUGUUGCUAGGCAGUUUGCUGAUAACCAAAAACUGGAGGCUGGGAAAAAUCGACUUGAUAAUGUGGAUCCUAUAGGAAUUCGAACAAAUUUACAAGAAGCCUUUGAAAAGUCCUAAUGUUAUGGGAACUGGUCUUACUGUUACAUUAGGGGGAGAGGAUGUAGCAGGUUUUGAGCAGAAUGAUCUUGAGGUGCAGCUAAUAGAGAGAACAAAGGGUGCAGGACCAUCUAAAACUCCAAGAGAUACAAAGGAUGCAACUGAUGCAUCAAGGGUUGGAACUGACGGAGCAACCAAUCUAAGCAUGCAACAGUAGCAGUUGAUGCUGGACAAGAAACAGCUACUGUUGGUUCUAAGCUGGAGGCAACUGUCGAUAGACAUUUUGUUGGGAUUGGCAAUCCUAAUGCUGCAAUUGUCGUUAAAUAACAAGUUGGAACAUCAGAUUCAAUGGAUGUGAGUUUAAUUUUAAAGGCAGCUAAUGUUGUGGAUACAACUGGUGUAACUUUUUCUGUAGGUACAACUACUGUAGAUGUAUCUAUUGCUACCUUAGUUCUAGCUAAAAUUGCUUCAAAAACUACUAAUGCUGGAAAAGAUACAAAGGAUGCUGGGAAGCAUACUAUUAAGGAUAAUUGGACAACAAUUUCUAGCAAAAAAGGCACUCCAAAAAGCAAAAAACUGUUGCGGAUUGCAAGAGAUAAUCCAGGUGCACGAAAAAUUCAAAUCCUUUUGAUGCUCUUGGCAAUGUGAAUGAUGAUGGUUAGAGGAACAUACAUCAGGUUAAUCAAGAUUUAGCUUCAGCAACUACUAGGCUGUCGAACUCUUGAGGUAAUGAAAAGCAACAUCAGGUCACCAAGAAUGCAGAUGGUCAAUCAAAAACAGAUUUUUCUCUUGUCACUGUUGACGAGCAAAUGACUAGAGCAAAUGACGAGAAAAAACCCUACACCUUCCUCCGCUCCCCCACCCCACAAAAUAUCACUAAGAAAUCUCAAAUAUUCAAAGAAUGAAUAAUGUACCAUGCACUUCUAGUAUUCUGAGGCGCGACCGGCAUGGUAAGAGAACAAAUUAGCCUAAGACAUAUUGUACGUUCGAUUAAUCAACAAAAAUAGGACAAUAAAAUAAUAACAAAGCCGAUUUGUAGAAUUAGGCUCACAAAUCUGCUAGGAUUUGAAAAUAAAUUACUUAUUUUGGAGACUAGAAGAGGAAUAAAAAAUUUAUAGUUCAUUCUUUUAUGGAAUAAGGACAAAUUAGAUAUGAAACUACACCAAUCACAGACCAUAAGAUGGUAAAAAUAUUGAAAUAGAAGAGCACUAACUUGAGAUUGGAAGAAUUUCCCGUUUCUCUUGCAUUAUAAAUUUCUUCAAUCUGGAACGAGGACUGCUAGAAGGUGCAAAAUAGUACCUAACAGAAAGGGAAAACCAGAAUUCUUCCAUUGAGACAAUAGUUUGAAAACAUAAACACUACCCAAGGUAGGGUGAGAAGGUGCUUAAUUAAUAGUACCUAAUCCCGGUGCAGAAAUUAAGAGUAAGUUCCCAGCCAGUGUAGAAAUUAGCAGAAAUUCUAAUUCGCCAGUCUCCAUGCUAGAAGCAAGAAACCAUAACUAUGUAUCAACAUAGUUUUUAGCGAGGAGAGAGAUCUUUUUGUCCUUCUGAAAUUGAAAAAUUAAUAUUUCACCUAGACCUAGAGUAUAUUGGAGAGAACAUUAUCUUUUUUUGAGGGAAUAUUAUUUUAGCCAAAUAUU
rnacentral:lncRNA from 1 species